GAGAUUAAAUCAAUAAAUAAUCAUUAAAAACAAUUAAAAUAAAAAAAUUCAAUUUAAGUCAUUAUUUUCAUUUGUCUGAUUUAAGUCAUGAUUUAAAUCGAAACAACCCUUUAUAUAUUCCAUCUUUCUGAGGCAGAGGGACAUUAUUCUUGGUUUUAUUAUUUUUUAAUUUAAUAUCUCUGAAUAUUUUACAUAUUUAGUGUGCGUACAACAGUUAACAACUUUAAUCUUAUACAUUAACUUUAACUUAUAUACAUUAACUUUAGUUAUAACUUAAUUAUUAAUGAUUUGAUUUAUAGAUUUUUAAAGCAAAACAAGAUUGAAUUUAGGAGAAGGCUAAACUUUUGCUGUGGAGGCAGGAAGACAGCAAAAGGAAGACAGCGAAAAUGACCAGCCAAAAUAAAGAUUUAAGAGACAAAAAAUUUUGUAUAUCUUGGUGUAGAUAAUUGAUCCUCAAUUUCUUAUAAUAAAACAAAAAAUAUUAUCAAACUUUGGGAUUUACCUGUGACUCCAAACUCUUUACAGAAGUUCAAUAUUUGCUCUGAGAAGUUGAAUGAACAAAAUUUAUUAAAUGUGCAAUCUGUAUCUUAAACUUUAACGAGAAUUGUUUUGUGUCAGUGCCAGAAAUUGAAUACACACCUGCAAAUUUCGUAAUUCAUAAAAAUAUUAUGAAUCCAUUAGCAAAUAUGCUGGUAUUAUUGGCACAAUGGGCAAGCAUCAAAGUGCAACUUGGUGAACUACAAAACACAUCAAAUUCAGUUAUAAAAAUUUGAGUAACAAAGGCAUGCUAAUUAUUGUAUUCCCUGAAAGAGUGUCCAUACCAUUAAAAGCAGUAAAGAAUUCAAGUACUCUCGAAAAAAAAGACAAGAAAAUACUUAAGUAAAUGGUCAAUUAUUUGUCACAAAUUGGAGUUAAAGACGAAGGAGAUUGUAUAUGUUAUUUACUAAGAAUAGUUUUUUAAAAUGGCCUAGCUGUAAAAUUAAACUAUGCCAGGAGAGGACAAAAAAUUGGAAUAGGAAAAAUGUUGAUUGCAUAUGUUGCUAUUGGUAGAGUUCUGCUGU